GAUGAACGCUGGCGGCGUGCCUAAUACAUGCAAGUCGAGCGAAUGGAGUAAGAGCUUGCUCUUAUGAAGUUAGCGGCGGACGGGUGAGUAACACGUGGGUAACCUGCCCAUAAGACUGGGAUAACUCCGGGAAACCGGGGCUAAUACCGGAUAAUAUUUUGAACUGCAUGGUUCAAAAUUGAAAGGCGGCUUCGGCUGUCACUUAUGGAUGGACCCGCGUCGCAUUAGCUAGUUGGUGAGGUAACGGCUCACCAAGGCAACGAUGCGUAGCCGACGUGGGGGGGUGAUCGGCCACACUGGGACUGAGACACGGCCCAGACUCCUACGGGAGGCAGCAGUAGGGAAUCGUCCGCAAUGGACGAAAGUCUGACGGAGCAACGCCGCGUGAGUGAUGAAGGCUUUCGGGUCGUAAAACUCUGUUGUUAGGGAAGAACAAGUGCUAGUUGAAUAAGCUGGCACCUUGACGGUACCUAACCAGAAAGCCACGGCUAACUACGUGCCAGCCGCCGCCGUAA
rnacentral:rRNA from 1 species